UAGGGAUACGUUCGUUGGGUAGGGGAGCGUUCUGUAAGCCUGUGAAGGUGUGUCGUGAGGCAUGCUGGAGGUAUCAGAAGUGCGAAUGCUGACAUAAGUAACGAUAAAGCGGGUGAAAAGCCCGCUCGCCGGAAGACCAAGGGUUCCUGUCCAACGUUAAUCGGGGCAGGGUGAGUCGACCCCUAAGGCGAGGCCGAAAGGCGUAGUCGAUGGGAAACGGGUUAAUAUUCCCGUACUUGGUGUUACUGCGAAGGGGGGACGGAGAAGGCUAUGUUGGCCGGGCGACGGUUGUCCCGGUUUAAGCGUGUAGGUGUGUGUUCCAGGUAAAUCCGGUUCACUUUAACACUGAGGCGUGACGACGAGGCACUACGGUGCUGAAGCAACAAAUGCCCUGCUUCCAGGAAAAGCCUCUAAGCAUCAGGUAACAUCAAAUCGUACCCCAAACCGACACAGGUGGUCAGGUAGAGAAUACCAAGGCGCUUGAGAGAACUCGGGUGAAGGAACUAGGCAAAAUGGUGCCGUAACUUCGGGAGAAGGCACGCUGACACGUAGGUGAAGUGAUUUACUCAUGGAGCUGAAGUCAGUCGAAGAUACCAGCUGGCUGCAACUGUUUAUUAAAAACACAGCACUGUGCAAACACGAAAGUGGACGUAUACGGUGUGACGCCUGCCCGGUGCCGGAAGGUUAAUUGAUGGGGUCAGCGCAAGCGAAGCUCCUGAUCGAAGCCCCGGUAAACGGCGGCCGUAACUAUAACGGUCCUAAGGUAGCGAAAUUCCUUGUCGGGUAAGUUCCGACCUGCACGAAUGGCGUAAUGAUGGCCAGGCUGUCUCCACCCGAGACUCAGUGAAAUUGAACUCGCUGUGAAGAUGCAGUGUACCCGCGGCAAGACGGAAAGACCCCGUGAACCUUUACUAUAGCUUGACACUGAACAUUGAGCCUUGAUGUGUAGGAUAGGUGGGAGGCUUUGAAGUGUGGACGCCAGUCUGCAUGGAGCCGACCUUGAAAUACCACCCUUUAAUGUUUGAUGUUCUAACGUGGACCCGUAAUCCGGGUUGCGGACAGUGUCUGGUGGGUAGUUUGACUGGGGCGGUCUCCUCCUAAAGAGUAACGGAGGAGCACGAAGGUUGGCUAAUCCUGGUCGGACAUCAGGAGGUUAGUGCAAUGGCAUAAGCCAGCUUGACUGCGAGCGUGACGGCGCGAGCAGGUGCGAAAG
rnacentral:rRNA from 1 species